AUGAGAGGGGAACCAUAUCAGAUUUUUAAGGCAAAAAACCCUAGCUAUCUCUCACUUCUGAUCUCUCUAAACUUAGAGAGAUCACCCGCAUUCUCUAAAAUUGGAGACUCUUAUUUCUCUCUAUCUCACGCCUGUCAACCCCCCCUCCCUUUCUCGCCGGCCAACCGUCGGAUUUGACUACCGGUGGGUCUGGUCGGCCACCACUGCUACCACCUCACCUCCCUGCUCACAUCUCUCUCACUUCUCUCUCUGUUGCGACGAACUCACUGAAAAUCGGUGAACUUGCACAUGGCAUUUCAGAUCUAACAAGAUCUGGCUAUAAUUGAUGUUAAAUCUGGCGACCUCUAUGAAACUAACACCGCUUGACCGAAGAACAUUUUUUGAUAAUCUUUUGAAUGUUGAGGCGUCGUUCCGAUACUUUUGCCGUUGAAGCGGCGUCAUUGACUCUAGAACUCUCUAGAUCUGGCCAUUUGUCCAUUUUAUGCUAGUUGCCUGAAUUUUAGUUACCAGAACCUUGUUUUCAGUGACCCUCACAUUUUUCGGCGAGCUUCACCAGCGGACGACGCCAUUGUUUCUUUUGGUACUAUUCGGGUGUUUGUUUUCCCUAUUGUUAUGGUCGAUGGCUCCUGUCUCGGUAUUAUUGGACUUCGUCCCUAUGAUGUUGGUUUUUAUGUUGGUUGGACUCUUGAUUUUUUUCGGCAAUCUCUUUGGUCGCUAUUUUGUGUUAUUGUUUAUGUUCAUGGAUGUUAAUGUUUUAAUUCUUUUGGUUGACUUAUCUUUAUGGUGAUGGAUGUUGUCGGCUUUAACUCCACUGUGGCUCCCUCUACUAGCCGAAAAUUCGUUGAUGAUUUUAAGACUAUUUGCCUCUUUAAUAAUAGUAUCUUUGUUUAGGCUCAGUUAUUUCUUGUCCACGUUGUCGAUGCUGUUGUGCGGAUGCUUUAACAGUAUUCAUGUCGUGGAUUUUGUUGUGAUAUGCUCGAUGGGAAUACUUUUUAGAGGUACGAUGCCCCGAAUGACUCUCAGAUUUGGCCUGAAAUAACGAGCCGAUGGUGAUAAACAUCGAAAAGGAAAAAGAUGAGAAUUUGACGAACCAAUAGCCCUUCGAAAAUACGACACAAUUAGCUAUCUAGUCGCAACCAAGGCGGUUAUCGUUAUCAUGUCUAGUCGGAUAUUACAUAUAUCUGAGCCUCCUAUAUUAUUUUUCUAAACUAUUUUCCAAUAAAUAAACAAUUUUCCAAAAGCAUUUUCAAACUAUUUUCAAAAACAAUCUUUCAAAAAUAUUUUCAAAUAAAAUCAUUUCAAAAUAAAUUAGUUUAUUAUUUACUUUAUAUUUUACUAAUAAUUUCCCUUCUUUUGUCUUGCGAGGUACUAUCACACGAGGUUGCUUUCGGAAGAUGAUACCCGAAGACGAAAAGACAAAUCCCCGUCAAGCCUCCCAUUUCGUAACUUCCCUUCUUAGAUGUACAAAACGCAAGGUGCAACAACAUGGCGACUCUACUGGGGAUACUUCAGUUUCUAAUCACAGCGGACUUGAUCAAUUACUUGAGGGAUUACAGAUACAGGUACUUCCUACUAGCCCAGGCACAAGUCAGACAAGCUCAGCUUCGGAGAGUCCGCAGGCCUCAGAGUCACCCUCUAUCUAGUUUACUUCAUUUUCUUUCCCUUUCAUAGACACUGUUGUAUAGGGAUGAUCAGUAUUUAUUCGUAGAGCUUGUGACUUGUUAUCACCAGAUUUUGGGAAGUUUUGUUAUGCUGAGUUGAGAAGUUUCUUUUAUGAUAGUUGUUGAGAAUUUGAGAGAGUUUUAUCAA